GCUGUCUGCUGCUCACGCUCGUGCCGCUGUAGAAAAGCUCCUCUACUCCCUCGUGUGUCCUCUUCACUCCGCCAGGACGCAGUUUGAGUCAGAUGACAUAACGGCGAUGAGGUAGAACUCAAAGGCGUCGAGUUCCUAAGAUUAUUCUCAACCGUGCUCACUGGAACCUCUAGGUUUGCAAGCAGUCACCGUAAAACAGGAAGCAAAUAUUAGAGGGUCGUCUUUCGAACGGAUACGGCUACUGUAGACAUAACAUAA